rnacentral:lncRNA from 1 species
GCACAUAUUUAAUGGCACACUUGGUUUGUCUCUGAUAUGCCCAGUUUUUGUCCGAAUGGAGGCAGGGCUUUCUUUCCUGUAUGCUUCCCUUUCUGAAAAGCUAUCUACUUUCAAUAGCAUUCCAUCUCUAAUGGCAUGGCAUGUCCCCCUGUGCUUUCCACUCUCUUGUUGUUCUGCAUUGUAUCUGCUUGUGCCCUUGAGCUCUCAACCCCCCUGAGCAAGGAAUUCCAUUCUCUGCCUGCCUCUAUUUAUUGCAAGGCACUCUGCACAUUGUUCUGGAACUCUAUAAAUGACAAAAAUGCACAUAAGAAACUCAAGAGAUGGGAGGAGAUCAUCCCAGGAAAGAUGGUUUGUUCACUUGAUUACUUCCCGGGAGAAACGUGGUUCUUUUGCACGUAUCGCUGA